UCAAAUUGGACGUUAAGUCCGACAAUGAGGCCCACUUUAAGGGCUAAAAUGGUCAUUUUAAUACCAAAAAAAAAAAAAAAAACUCGACCAAAAGAAAGAAAGAAAUUUUCUGCUUCUUCCUCCUUUCCUCUCCCUAACGAUCUGAAACUCAUCAAUCUAGCCUUCCUCUUCUCAUCUUCAUCGUUCAAACCACUCUCCACCUCUUAUGCCCUUGAGGGAAUGGGAUGUCGGGGUACAUACUCGCCGUACUUGAUUCCGACCUUGUUGGGGCCGGUUCUCGGCCAAGAAGAGCAUGCGAAUGUUGAGGGAGAGAGAGGCGGAAGUGUCGGGUUCGAUUCACAGUUCAGAUUGGGUGAGUUGAUGCCCAUUUACUGGAUGACGAAUUGGUGGAAUUAGAGAAGCAAUUCGAGUCGGCACAGCAAGCGAAAUCGAGCAUCAGAUUGUCCGAUCGAAACAUCGUCGAAUUGGUCCAAAAGCUUCACGAGCUCUACAUGGUGGCGAAGGAUGAGGGCGGCGAUGACCGAUUGCGUUCUCAUCUUCGGUUCGGAUCUGUUCGUGACCAAAUUGGAAAUCGAAGGUGACGACGGCGACGGCGAUGAUAUCGGGGUCAAAUUCCAAUUCGGGGUGGAGUCAAAUUCUCAGGGCUCCGGCUCUGAAUUCGGUGACUUUCUGGCUCCACAAGGGCUUCAGGUUGUUGGGUUGGAGUCCGAUUCGGAUUCGGAUAAUGAUGAAUUCGAAAGCGGAGGAAGAAGAGUGGCGGAGGUUACCAGGAGGAUGAGGAGGUUCUUAGCGACGACGCCGGCAAGCUCAAUUUCCCGCCUGACUUCAAGCUCUUAAUCAGAAACCUUCCCUUCACUGUCGACAGUGCUCAGCUAACUGAGCUCUUCGAAGGUGCUACAAAUGUUGAGAUGGUUGAGGUGAUAUAUGACAAGACGACUGGGAGAAGCAGGAGAUUCGGGUUUGUGACCAUGUCGAGUGCUCAGGAAGUAGAAGCAACUGCUCGACAGUUCAAUGGCUAUGUGAGUCACCAUUUUGUGUCUACGAUUUGUGUGUGUAUAUGCGAGAAGGUGAAACAAAUUUUUUGAGAUUUGAGAAAGUUGCAUUGGUGUUUGAGACUUGUUCAAGAUCUGUUAAUCAGAAAAGUUGGUGUUGAUGAGUUGGAGAUGAUGGUAAUGGGUUUCCUAGGGUCGGAUUUUGGGAGGUAGAGGAGCUGAGGGGAAGAAGAAGAACAAGAAUGAUUUUUUUUUUUUGUCUUGAAAUGACCCUUUUAGCCCUUAAAGUGGGCCCUAUUGUCGGACUUAACGUCCAAUUUGGACGGAGAAUGAGACAUUGGACACGGUUGAGGAAAAUUGAAAAGCUCGGGGGAUAAAAAUUUAAAAUUAAGAGUAUCGGGGGUGACAUGAUGACACCCCCAAACCCAGUGGCGGAUCCAGAAAUUUUUUUCAAGUAAGGCAAGACAAUGGCAGGUUGAAGGAAAAGGGGAAGGGAGGAAAAUUAGAGGGAAGCUAUAGAUUUUGGAGGCAAUUGUGAAAAGUUUGCCCAGAUUUUGCCUGGUUUUGCCCUAUUUCUGCCAUUUUCUUCAACAAUUCACUUGAUUUUGCCCUAUUUCUGUCAAUUUCACAUACCUUGCUUAUACCAAACUUGUAUAGACUCAAAAAUCCAGUCUAGGAAAGUGCCUAAGCUGGCCUCUAUGUGGAUCCGCCGGUGCCCAAACCUCAGAGGAGUAAAUUGAAAUUAAUCCUAUUUAUAAACACA